UGUUAUUUGCAGUUUAAAACGCAGUGCAUUUAAUUUUGUCAACCAUGAGUUCUUUCAGAAUUAUUAUUUCAUUAUUCGUCAUUGUCAUGUUUGUGCAGACGAUUUCUGCGCAAUGCAAUGGCGACAGAAACGCUGAACAGUCAGAUUGCAGCAACUUCUGCUUCCAAAACUGCGAGAAAAAUUUAUUCUGUACUCUCGAGUGUCAGAUAGGGUGUAGUUGCAAGCGGGGAUACUUGUUCGAUGGUGCAAGGAACGCCUGUGUCGCGGAGCAGGAGUGCAGUAAUCGGCAGUAAGGAAAAAACGUGACGUAUCGAAAGUAAAACUUCAAAUUAAGUAACGAAGCGCUUCAGUAGCAACACUGCAAGUCCAAUAUAAUUUCUUCGUCCCUUUUUACGCCAUAUUAGAUGUCUAAUUAUAAGCUAAAAUAUUAUUUACUGACGCGUUUUAUACCCUACCGGAGUCCUGAAACAAGAUGGCGGCACACGACCCAGCUGUUGUUAACCAUUGUCAAAUUAUUAUGAAUCCUCUUCACGAGAGUUAUUACUUAUUAAAUUGAAGGAAUUGAUAAAUAUUCCACACAUAAGCGUGCUUGUUUGUUGAUUUUGACAUAAAAUAUGUUUAUGCAAAAAAUUUUUCAAAAUCGGUUCAUCCAGUCAGAGGCUCGAGAUUUAAGAACCUCGUUUAUGAAGUCGAUUGAAAAUGUCGACGAAACUGUACUAUAUUUCUGACUAAACACCAUUAUAAAUAAAUGAAUGAUAAAACAAUAAA